CUUGGUUUUCCAAAUAAUUCUAUUGUCACAGUCCUGUCUUUUGAUGAAGUUGUACCAGAAGUUUGAAAAUAUUUAUAUUUUAAUUUUUCUGUGCUUUUGACCUCUAAAUGAAUUUGUUUUGCCAACUGUUCCAAAUAUGUGUUAGCGAAGCAGACAUUUUCUUUUGGACAUCACUUUACCAGUAUUUCAAAUAUAUCUUUACUUAAAAUAUAUUUUAGGAAGUGUCUUGUUUUGUCUACUAGUCCUCUCACCUAGCAUUGUUGCUACCAUCUCCCACCAGGUCCUGCCCAACUGCUAAUGCUAAUAGCACGUGGAACCUAUUUUUCAUGAAAAACACUACAACGCAUAUAGUGGUGUCCUCCUUAUACAAUUGAAUCUACAUGAAGGUGUGAAUAACCACUGAGCUCUAGUGAAUACUUCUUAUUUAACUAAUAUCUAAGAGCACCGUUUCCCUACCAGCAGAAAGUCCUUGUCCCUUGUUCUUUCCCCUUCUAACUGACCAGCUGAGACCUGUGUUGAAUGGAGUAAGUAUCAUUUUGAUGUUCAGAGUACUAAGCCAGUGGGUAUUUUGGUUGAACAGAUUAGUCUGAGAAUCAUACAUCUGCAUUUUACACACAUUUACACACACAUAUUUAUAUAUAAUUAUGCAUAUAAUAAAUGUAAUUUAUUUACAAAUGAGGUUCAACCCAAAUAAAUUAUAUUGUUGUGCAUAUUGAAAAUAUAAAACUUUGAAACCUUGCCUGGUUGGAAUAUGGUAUCUGAGUUGUCUUCCAUCCUGCAAUCCCUUGUUCUUUCUUUUGUGCAUUUGCUUCUAUUCAUAAGAUUGAGGAGUCAGAGUAAACUGCCUUUUUUGAAUCAUGAUCACUUGGAUGAAUUCUUGUAUUGGAUCUGUUUCCUUUCUACUCUCAAUCUUACAAUGUGUCUUGUUUGUGGUAAGUUUUGUGUUGUGGCCAGCAGUGUGUCCCCGCAAACUAGCGAGUGUUCUCAGUGAAUAUCAACAAAGAAAGGAAAGAGCCAUUCAGUAAUAACAAGAACAACCAAACCAGAAUAAAUUAAUGAUUACAUUUUUCAAGUCCAAAGUCUUAAGUUGCUUGAGGCAUUUUAUGUUAAUUGCAAGUAAAAAGCAUUGCAUUUCUACACAAAUAAUAAUCAUAGUGUCAUUGGCGUUUCUUUAUCAGAAGCCAGGGAUUAUGAAAAUUAUUUACCAAUAACACUUUCCUUAUUCAGUAUCCACCCCAACCUUUGAUGAAGGGGAUUAUUAGCCUGUACAUAAAUGUGGGCUGCAUGAGUUGCUCAAGGUUGGAAACUAGUAAGCAUCAGAGCCAAGGUUUGCACAAGGAAUGGAGGCCCCAGCAUAGUAUCUGAACUCUUAGAUCGUAUCACCCCUUCAUAUCACUGUAUGCCCAAUAUCAUGGUAUUUUGUGAUUACUAGAGAUGGGCAGCAAAUUGGCCAUUAUAAAGCUUACUAGCUGGAGACUUUCUUUAGCUUUUUAAAUUGAUUUUAUUUUCUUCUCUACUUCAGAGGAAUUUCUUACUUUUGUUCUGGUAAAAUUUGUCUUAUUCUCCCAUGUAAAUUUCACUUGUGGGUUGCACUAUCUUUGAAUGAAGUAUUUAAUUUGUGUUUUAGUUGUUCCAAUGUUUAUGUUUUAAAAAACAAAGAUAAGAUUUUAAAUAAACUGUAACAUUCAAUUAUUUUCAGAUUUAUUUUUUUUCAUAUAUGUAACUCAAUGGGAUAAUAAAUAUGAUCACUAUGUAUUCUACCUCUCAGGCACACAGUAACAGAAUAAGGUGAGAUUCAUAUUAUAGACUGCUUCCU
rnacentral:lncRNA from 1 species